rnacentral:rRNA from 1 species
GGGAGGGCGUUUACCACGGUGUGGUUCAUGACUGGGGUGAAGUCGUAACAAGGUAGCCCUAGGGGAACCUGGGGCUGGAUCACCUCCUUACCUAAAGA